rnacentral:rRNA from 1 species
AUUGAACGCUGGCGGCAUGCCUUACACAUGCAAGUCGAACGGCAGCACGGGAGCAAUCCUGGUGGCGAGUGGCGAACGGGUGAGUAAAGUAUCGGAACGUGCCCAGUCGUGGGGGAUAACGUAGCGAAAGUUACGCUAAUACCGCAUACGAUCUAUGGAUGAAAGCGGGGGAGCGCAAGACCCCGCGCGAUUGGAGCGGCCGAUAUCAGAUCAGGUAGUUGGGGGGGUAAAGGCUCACCAAGCCGACGAUCUGUAGCUGGUCGGAGAGGACGACCAGCCACACUGGGACUGAGACACGGCCCAGACUCCUACGGGAGGCAGCAGUGGGGAAUUUUGGACAAUGGGCGAAAGCCUGAUCCAGCCAUGCCACGUGCAGGAUGAAGGCCUUCGGGUUGUAAACUGCUUUUGUACGGAACGAAAAGGUUUGGCCUAAUAAGCUGAGCUCAUGACGGUACCGUAAGAAUAAGCACCGGCUAACUACGUGCCAGCAGCCGCCGUAA